UACAGAGGGUGCAAGCGUUAUUCGGAAUUACUGGGCGUAAAGAGCGCGUAGGCCGUUCGAUAAGUUUGAUGUGAAAGCCCUGGACUCAAUCCAGGAAGUGCAUCGAAUACUGUCGGACUAGAGUAUAGGAGAGGACAACGGAAUUUCUGGUGUAGAGGUGAAAUUCGUAGAUAUCAGAAGGAACAACAGUGGCGAAGGCGGUUGUCUGGACUAUUACUGACGCUGAGGCGCGAAAGUGUGGGGAGCAAACAGG
rnacentral:rRNA from 1 species